ensembl:lncRNA
GUUAAUGACAAAAACCUCAUUUUGUUCUGUGAAGUCAGGAUUCUGCAUGUUGUCUUAAUUCUCUCCUACUCUCUGUUUCCCCAGAGAUCAGUUUUUUCUGGCUGUGUUGGUUUGGGGGUAUUAGUGGUGUUGGAGAAGGGGUACCUCCUUCAUUUGUCCCACUUCAGCCGGGUUUCCUGCCCUCCUCUGUGCUGCUGGUUGACCCUGCGGUGUAGGUCACAGAACCACGGCAUCGUGAAGGUUGGAAAAGACCCCUGAGAUCCCCAACCACAGCCCACCCCACCGUGCCCACUAUGUCCUCAUGUGCCACGUCCCCACAGCUCUGGAACACCUGCAUGGAAGGGUACCCCACCACUUGCUGAGCAGCUGCGCCCCUUCAGCACCACUCUUUGGAGAAGGAGUUGUUCCUGAUACCCGUCCUCUCCUGACACAACUGAAGGCAAUUAAUUACCUGUUCUCCCAUCGUUGUUGAAGAUGCCAGCCCUGAUCUGGCUGCAGCCUCCUUCCAGGCACCUGUAGGGAGUGAUGUGGUCUCCCCUGAGCCUCCUCCUCUCCAGACCCCGCGUGGGGUUCUGCACGUGGCAGCUAUGGGCAGUGCUUCAGUUUCUUUGCUCAGAGAGCCUCGGGUAGCACCGCGCUGAAGCCAGGCAGGUGGGGCAGCAGGGACCUGCUCAUCCUUAAUAGCAGUGGGAGUGGCUGUGGCUAACCCCGAGCUGCCACACUUUGCUGGGCAGUAGUUAACUCAAAGUAGGCAGUAAAUAGAACUGUACAGUGAGCUUGAUUGACAGAAAACAUCCAAGAGAUUGUACGUGGGAAUAGAUUUGGGAGCUGUUGGACAAUUCGGAUUAUGUCCUUUUGGGAAAUGAGGGCUGAAAGAUAGCUUAGCUUUCAAGGUGCUUUCGCUUAUAGCAGAGUCCCCAGAUCCUGAGAUAUGAUUGUUUUUACUGUGUGGACUUCUCAGAAGUGAGCCUGUGUGUUGUUUUUGGAUAUGACGUGCAAACUGUCGGCGGUGCUUGGAACCAUCCCAGUGCUGAAGGCUGGGCUGGGAUGGAGCGCGAAGGUAAAAGCGAGUGGAGUUAUGCAAGCUUUGCCAGCUUUCCUUUUUUUCUUCCUUUCUUCUUCUUCUUCUUUUUUUUUUUUUUAAAUAUCUGCUACCAAAAUAUAAUAAUCUCCAUCCUGAAUGAGAUCAUAUCUGCUCGCCUUCAGCCUGACUCAAGGCGCUGCUGCAGGAAGGGCUGACGAAGGAAAUGACACACACAGCGUUUAACCCCUGCAGCAAAACGGCUCCAUCUGUGCCGUCCUUCCCUGCAGCCCUUCCCCACCCUCAUCCCAGCGCCAUCCCCUCUCCCGCCUCUGGGGCAGGUGGGGGGCGGAAGGAUGGUGAGGGAUGGGCGAUGGAGCCCCGAGCUGCUCAGGACAUGGGGGGACCACACAGAGUGGCACACAGUGGGCUUCCAUCCCUCUGCAUCGAGGGCGGCUCUGCGUUUCAGUUUGCGAACGUCUGCUGCUCGCUGAGGAGAACGAAGGGCGCCUGCAGCCUUUGGCUUCGGCUGAGAUUUCGUGUGGGCACGACAGAAAUACUGCUGGAGAACUUGGGAAUGAGCACAAUGGACGUGAAGAGAGCAGGGCGGCUCCCGUGGCUGAGGCGUGUGGUUGAAUGGAGCCCAGCUGCCCGCCGGUGUGCCCAAAGUCCUGCCUUUUUCUGCUGCGAGUCAUCAAACUGUUGCAACAUCUCUGAUUAUACGAAGAGAACUCCAGCAAGG